rnacentral:rRNA from 1 species
AGCGAACGCUGGCGGCAGGCCUAACACAUGCAAGUCGAACGAACUCUUCGGAGUUAGUGGCGGACGGGUGAGUAACACGUGGGAACGUGCCUUUAGGUUCGGAAUAACUCAGGGAAACUUGUGCUAAUACCGAAUGUGCCCUUCGGGGAAAGAUUAUCGCCUUUAGAGCGGCCCGCGUCUGAUUAGCUAGUUGGUGAGGUAAAGGCUCACCAAGGCUACGAUCAGUAGCUGGUCUGAGAGGAUGACCAGCCACAUUGGGACUGAGACACGGCCCAAACUCCUACGGGAGGCAGCAGUGGGGAAUCUUGCGCAAUGGGCGAAAGCCUGACGCAGCCAUGCCGCGUGGAUGAUGAAGGUCUUAGGAUUGUAAAAUCCUUUCACCGGUGAAGAUAAUGACUGUAGCCGGAGAAGAAGCCCCGGCUAACUUCGUGCCAGCAGCCGCGGUAAU